UCACAAUUUUUGGACAAAAAAACUGCAGUAGAUGCUUCAAUAUAAAUUAGAUUGCAUCUCCAUUGGAUAGACAGUCAAUUUGAUGUCACUCUUAAAAGUUUACACUUAACCCACUGGUGGAUCCAGAAUCCAGAUGAAGUCUAGACUCAAGGCUGCAAAGCUUGGCAUCUUGAAUGUUGAUGAGAUGUCUUAUGUGUAGGAACUGAAGGGACACUUGACCAGUGAAUGGUGAUAUGGAUUUACUGUGAUGUGGUGCAGCUUUUGUGUGGAGUGCUGCAGCAGAACCCAACUUAGGAUUUGGGACUGUGAACUGGCUGCUGCAGGACUGUCCAGGGCUAAUCCUGAGAAGACAUCAUAACUGCGGCAAUAUGACAACCAAAAUGCACUUGUUAUUGCGGUCUGCUUCGUUUCUUCAGCAAAAUCUACGCCAGCCAGCAAGUCCGAAAUGUCUCCACCGAGCCACGCAGAUGGUUCGUCUUUGUAGUACUCAGGCCGGAAAGGUCCACGACACAGCACCAGGUGAGU